rnacentral:rRNA from 1 species
GUUUGAUCCUGGCUCAGAUUGAACGCUGGCGGCAGGCCUAACACAUGCAAGUCGAGCGGUAGCACAGAGAGCUUGCUCUCGGGUGACGAGCGGCGGACGGGUGAGUAAUGUCUGGGAAACUGCCUGAUGGAGGGGGAUAACUACUGGAAACGGUAGCUAAUACCGCAUAACGUCGCAAGACCAAAGAGGGGGACCUUCGGGCCUCUUGCCAUCAGAUGUGCCCAGAUGGGAUUAGCUAGUAGGUGGGGUAACGGCUCACCUAGGCGACGAUCCCUAGCUGGUCUGAGAGGAUGACCAGCCACACUGGAACUGAGACACGGUCCAGACUCCUACGGGAGGCAGCAGUGGGGAAUAUUGCACAAUGGGCGCAAGCCUGAUGCAGCCAUGCCGCGUGUAUGAAGAAGGCCUUCGGGUUGUAAAGUACUUUCAGCGGGGAGGAAGGUGUUGUGGUUAAUAACCACAGCAAUUGACGUUACCCGCAGAAGAAGCACCGGCUAACUCCGUGCCAGCAGCCGCGGUAAUACGGAGGGUGCAAGCGUUAAUCGGAAUUACUGGGCGUAAAGCGCACGCAGGCGGUCUGUCAAGUCGGAUGUGAAAUCCCCGGGCUCAACCUGGGAACUGCAUUCGAAACUGGCAGGCUAGAGUCUUGUAGAGGGGGGUAGAAUUCCAGGUGUAGCGGUGAAAUGCGUAGAGAUCUGGAGGAAUACCGGUGGCGAAGGCGGCCCCCUGGACAAAGACUGACGCUCAGGUGCGAAAGCGUGGGGAGCAAACAGGAUUAGAUACCCUGGUAGUCCACGCCGUAAACGAUGUCGACUUGGAGGUUGUGCCCUUGAGGCGUGGCUUCCGGAGCUAACGCGUUAAGUCGACCGCCUGGGGAGUACGGCCGCAAGGUUAAAACUCAAAUGAAUUGACGGGGGCCCGCACAAGCGGUGGAGCAUGUGGUUUAAUUCGAUGCAACGCGAAGAACCUUACCUACUCUUGACAUCCAGAGAACUUAGCAGAGAUGCUUUGGUGCCUUCGGGAACUCUGAGACAGGUGCUGCAUGGCUGUCGUCAGCUCGUGUUGUGAAAUGUUGGGUUAAGUCCCGCAACGAGCGCAACCCUUAUCCUUUGUUGCCAGCGGUUAGGCCGGGAACUCAAAGGAGACUGCCAGUGAUAAACUGGAGGAAGGUGGGGAUGACGUCAAGUCAUCAUGGCCCUUACGAGUAGGGCUACACACGUGCUACAAUGGCGCAUACAAAGAGAAGCGACCUCGCGAGAGCAAGCGGACCUCAUAAAGUGCGUCGUAGUCCGGAUUGGAGUCUGCAACUCGACUCCAUGAAGUCGGAAUCGCUAGUAAUCGUAGAUCAGAAUGCUACGGUGAAUACGUUCCCGGGCCUUGUACACACCGCCCGUCACACCAUGGGAGUGGGUUGCAAAAGAAGUAGGUAGCUUAACCUUCGGGAGGGCGCUUACCACUUUGUGAUUCAUGACUGGGGUGAAGUCGUAACAAGGUAACCGUA